rnacentral:tRNA from 1 species
GUCCCCGUAGCUCAGUGGAUAGAGCAACCGCCUCCUAAGCGGUAGGUCGCAGGUUCAACUCCCGCCGGGGACACUA